UACGGUCACUUUUGUGUAGGGAGCGGCGAAUGGAGGAGUAACACGUUGGAACCUACCCCGUACUCAGGGAUAAUCCGCCGAAAGGCGGACUAAUACCGGAUAGUCUCGUAAGAGUAAAGCUUUUGCGGUACGGGAGGGGCCUGCGGCCUAUCAGUUUGUUGGUAAGGUAACGGCUUACCAAGACUAUGACGGGUAGCUGAUCUGAGAGGAUGAUC
rnacentral:rRNA from 1 species